UACAGAGGUCUCAAGCGUUGUUCGGAUUCAUUGGGCGUAAAGGGUGCGUAGGUGGCGCGCUAAGUCAGGUGUGAAAUUUCGGAGCUCAACUCCGAAACUGCAUUUGAUACUGGCGUGCUUGAGGACUGGAGAGGAGACUGGAAUUCACGGUGUAGCAGUGAAAUGCGUAGAUAUCGUGAGGAAGACCAGUGGCGAAGGCGGGCCUCUGGACAGUUCCUGACACUGAGGCACGAAGGCCAGGGGAGCAAACGGG
rnacentral:rRNA from 1 species